rnacentral:rRNA from 1 species
UACGUAGGGUGCAAGCGUUGUCCGGAAUUAUUGGGCGUAAAGAGCUCGUAGGCGGUCUGUCACGUCGGCUGUGAAAACCCGGGGCUCAACCCCGGGCCUGCAGUCGAUACGGGCAGACUAGAGUGCGGUAGGGGAGACUGGAAUUCCUGGUGUAGCGGUGAAAUGCGUAGAUAUCAGCAGGAACACCCGUGGCGAAGGCGGCUUCCUGGAUCACCCCUGACGCUGAGACGCGAAAGCGUGGGGAGCGAACGGG